GGGCGCUAAGCUGAUUUUCUAAUAAGCCAUAAAUAAUUAAUUAAUCGUGUGAGUUCCCGACAGCAUAAUGAGAUUGCGUGAAGUAGCGGCAAAAAGCGUGGUCGAACUACGAGUGUGGAAUCGCUGAGUUGCCAUUAAGUUUUUCGUGCUACUGCGGAUGGCCGAUUGUAACGCCACGCUAAUGCCACGCUACAUAUCGCCACGCCACAUGCCAUAUGCGAGCCAAGCCAAGCCAAGCCAAGCCAAGCCAAGCCAAGCCAAGCCAAGCCAAGCCAAGCCAAGCCAAGCCAAGCCAAGCCAAGCCAAGCCAAGCCAUGCCAUGCCAAGCCAUGCUAAGCCAUGCUACGACAGUUAAAGCCAGGACUGUCCACCAAGCCCGCCUGUAACCAUUACUGGCGUCCCAUUCGAGUGACAACAGAACUUAAUACCCGAUCGGCCUAUUUCGGAACGUCAUUCGUUUUUGUACAAAAAUGUUGCGAUGGCAACCAAAAAUAACGGAUGAGAUGAUGUGGCCAUGACAACGAAAAAUAACAGUUGUGAAUUGGAAAAAAUAUUAAGAUAUAAAUAUACAUUCGAUUAUUGA